UGGGGAGUAGCUCAGCAGCAGGGCGCAUGCCUGGCAAGCAUGAGGUCCUGAGUUCCAUCCCCAGUGCGACAG
rnacentral:tRNA from 1 species